rnacentral:rRNA from 1 species
GACGAACGCUGGCGGCGUGCCUAAUACAUGCAAGUCGAGCGCAGGAAGCUGACGGAACUCUUCGGAGGGAAGGCAGUGGAAUGAGCGGCGGACGGGUGAGUAACACGUAAGGAACCUGCCUCAAGGAUUGGGAUAACUCCGAGAAAUCGGAGCUAAUACCGGAUAGUUCAACGGACCGCAUGGUCCGCUGAUGAAAGGCGCUCCGGCGUCACCUUGAGAUGGACUUGCGGUGCAUUAGCUAGUUGGUGGGGUAACGGCCCACCAAGGCGACGAUGCAUAGCCGACCUGAGAGGGUGAUCGGCCACACUGGGACUGAGACACGGCCCAGACUCCUACGGGAGGCAGCAGUAGGGAAUCUUCCACAAUGGACGAAAGUCUGAUGGAGCAACGCCGCGUGAGUGAUGAAGGUUUUCGGAUCGUAAAACUCUGUUGUAAGGGAAAAACACGUACGAGAGGGAAUGCUCGUACCUUGACGGUACCUUACGAGAAAGCCACGGCUAACUACGUGCCAGCAGCCGCCGUAA